CGGAUGACGCUGGCGGCGUGCCUAACACAUGCAAGUCGAACGGUAACAGGGACUUCGKUCCGCCUGACGAGUGGCGCACGGGUGAGUAACGCGUGGAGUUACCUGCCCAUCAGUGGGGAACAACUCCGGGAAACSGGAGCUAAUACCGCAUACGACCUUCGGGUGAAAGAGGGGGAUCUUCGGACCUCUCGCUGAUGGAUGGUUCCGCGUCCGAUUAGUUAGUUGGUAAGGUAAUGGCUUACCAAGACGAUGAUCGGUAGCUGGUCUGAGAGGAUGAUCAGCCACACUGGAACUGAGACACGGUCCAGACUCCUACGGGAGGCAGCAGUGGGGAAUUUUGCACAAUGGGCGAAAGCCUGAUGCAGCGACGCCGCGUGCGGGAAGAAGGCCUUCGGGUUGUAAACCGCUUUCAACAGGGAAGAAGGAAUGAGGGCCAAUACCCCUCUGCCUUGACGGUACCUGUAGAAGAAGCCCCGGCUAAUUUCGUGCCAGCAGCCGCGGUAAUACGAAAGGGGCAAGCGUUGUUCGGAUUUACUGGGCGUAAAGAGAUCGUAGGUGGCUUGUUAAGUCGGAUGUGAAAUCCCGGGGCUCAACCCCGGAACUGCAUUCGAUACUGGCAGGCUUGAGUUCGGGAGGGGGAAGCGGAAUUCCGUGUGUAGCAGUGAAAUGCGUAGAUAUACGGAGGAACACCUGAGGCGAAGGCGGCUUCCUGGACCGAUACUGACACUGAGGAUCGAAAGCGUGGGUAGCAAACAGGAUUAGAUACCCUGGUAGUCCACGCCCUAAACGAUGUCUACUAGCCGUUGCGGGUAUCGACCCCUGCAGUGGCGCAGCUAACGCGAUAAGUAGACCGCCUGGGGAGUACGGCCGCAAGCUGAGGA
rnacentral:rRNA from 1 species